rnacentral:rRNA from 1 species
UGGGGAAUAUUGCACAAUGGGGGAAACCCUGAUGCAGCGACGCCGCGUGGAGGAAGAAGGUCUUCGGAUUGUAAACUCCUGUUGUUGGGGAAGAUAAUGACGGUACCCAACAAGGAAGUGACGGCUAACUACGUGCCAGCAGCCGCGGUAAAACGUAGGUCACAAGCGUUGUCCGGAAUUACUGGGUGUAAAGGGAGCGCAGGCGGGAAGACAAGUUGGAAGUGAAAUCUAUGGGCUCAACCCAUAAACUGCUUUCAAAACUGUUUUUCUUGAGUAGUGCAGAGGUAGGCGGAAUUCCCGGUGUAGCGGUGGAAUGCGUAGAUAUCGGGAGGAACACCAGUGGCGAAGGCGGCCUACUGGGCACCAACUGACGCUGAGGCUCGAAAGUGUGGGUAGCAAACA